rnacentral:rRNA from 1 species
AGUGAACGCUGGCGGUAGGCCUAACACAUGCAAGUCGAACGGCAGCACAGUAAGAGCUUGCUCUUACGGGUGGCGAGUGGCGGACGGGUGAGGAAUACAUCGGAAUCUACUUUUUCGUGGGGGAUAACGUAGGGAAACUUACGCUAAUACCGCAUACGACCUACGGGUGAAAGCAGGGGAUCUUCGGACCUUGCGCGAUUGAAUGAGCCGAUGUCGGAUUAGCUAGUUGGCGGGGUGAGGGCCCACCAAGGCGACGAUCCGUAGCUGGUCUGAGAGGAUGAUCAGCCACACUGGAACUGAGACACGGUCCAGACUCCUACGGGAGGCAGCAGUGGGGAAUAUUGGACAAUGGGCGCAAGCCUGAUCCAGCCAUACCGCGUGGGUGAAGAAGGCCUUCGGGUUGUAAAGCCCUUUUGUUGGGAAAGAAAAGCAGCAGGUUAAUACCCCGCUGUUCUGACGGUACCCAAAGAAUAAGCACCGGCUAACUUCGUG